GAAACAGAUUUAUAUAUUUUACUUAACCAAUAAUAGAUUAAAUUAACAGAAAAUAAAUACUGGUACUCAUCUUGUUUUUUGCUGUAUAAUUCUUGUCUUACAGCUAAAUCUGAACUCCCUCUGCUGCUGUUCUUCGGCGUGUUUUCGGGGGUGUGUGUGCUUGUAAUUUGUGUUCAGGCCAUUAUGAUUUGUAAAAUGAGAAAAUCUGGAGACAAACUUCAGGAGGGUGCUGUUAAUGAGAGAGCUCCAAACCAGAACCAUAAAGAUGAUGAAGUGAAUUACGCUCCAAUACGAAUUAUUGACAAGAAAACCCCCAGAGUGAAGAAGGAGAAGCCUGAAGAACUGGUUUACUCUCAAGUCUCCCAUGCAGCCGCUCAUCGCUCACGACGCUAGAAACUAAAGUUCUGAGGCUUUAUUUUUAUAUGAGAACCAUCUGAGAUUUUUAAUUCUGUGUUUUAUGCUUCAGUGUAGCAGUGUGGGGUCAGUAUUGAUUUUUUUGUACCUGUAACUGUUUUUAAUGCUGGAUUUUA